rfam:Candidatus Ryanbacteria bacterium RIFCSPHIGHO2_01_45_13 rifcsphigho2_01_sub10_scaffold_123, whole genome shotgun sequence.
UGCCGGGUCAUCUAGCGGUAGGAUGCGACGCUCUGGACGUCGUCACCUAGGUUCGAAUCCUAGCCCGGCAG